GUAGCUAUAGCUCAGUGAUAGGGUGCAUGCUUAGCAUGCACAAGGCCCUGGGUUCAAUCCCCAGUACCUCCA
rnacentral:tRNA from 1 species